rnacentral:misc_RNA from 1 species
GAUGAAGAACGUAGCGAAAUGCGAUAAGUAAUGUGAAUUGCAGAAUUCAGUGAAUCAUCGAAUCUUUGAACGCACAUUGCGCCCGCCAGUAUUCUGGCGGGCAUGCCUGUCCGAGCGUCAUUUCAACCCUCGAACCCCUCCGGGGGGUCGGCGUUGGGGAUCGGCACUUACCUGCCGGCCCCGAAAUACAGUGGCGGUCUCGCCGCAGCCUCUCCUGCGCAGUAGUUUGCACACUCGCACCGGGAGCGCGGCGCGUCCACGGCCGUAAAACAACCCAAACUUCUGAAAUGUUGACCUCGGAUCAGGUAGGAAUACCCGCUGAACUUAAGCAUAUCAAUAAGCGGAGA